CCCCUCUCAGGCUCGCACCUGGAGAGUUUCCAGUACUCUACCAGUCUUGGCUAUGGGAGGGAAAAUCAAGCAGAGGCAUAUCCAUGCCAUUCCUAACUUGGCCAGUGGCUAGUUAGUGGAAGGCCAUCUGCUACAACU